AAAAAAAUACUAUUUUGGAGUAGGGUUGAACAAAAUCAGUGUGUUAGUAGAUUACCCAUAAUCAAAAACUAUAAAUUUUCUGAAAGAGGCUUUUGUAGCUAUUCCAGCCAUAUCUUGUCUAUAUUUCUCCAUUUCUCAAGGACCACUUAGUCUGAAAGAAGAAAUUUCUUGGUUUGGGAGGAAAAUGUAAAACUCAUCUAAGUAUAACAUUUUAAGAAAUAUUGUCAUCAUUAAAGAUGAAGAUAGAAACAGAAAUUUCUGUUUUGAGUAUUGAUUAGUUAGAAUGCCCUUAAGAUAUUUAAAUUCAUGAAAGGAACAGGACAAACUGAGAAUGCAUGUGGAUACACACGUGAACUACAAACACCCAGCGUCUCCUUGUCUUUGUCAAUGAGAUCUCAUUCAAUUUUGGAAAACUAGUUGUAAUAAAAAAUUAAAUGCCUACAAAAAUGAAGUGUAAGAGCAAAGGAAACAAAAAGAACAUUGUCAAAAAAUAAGGAAAAGUGAACUAUAAUAGAAUGAGAACUAUAAAAACUAAGAAACGGGCAGAAUGCAGAGACAACGCUAAGGAAAGCCUAAAGAGCCAUGGUUGAGGCUGGCAGAAAAAUCUGUCUUGGAGAAAGCACUGUAGAGCAUACAUAAUAUCUAAUACUGUUUCUUCCAUUUGUCUGUCGUGACCACACUUAAGCCACGUAAAAUUCCUGAAUUACAGAGUUUUCCUCAUGUGUGAAAUGGGAAAGAGGAAGCAUAAUAAUUCUUACUCUGCCUUCCUCAUUUUCUCAUAAGUUUGUUUUGAGGAAUAAAAAAAUGAAAAAAUGAGAGCACAAUUUCCCACUCCUUAAGUACAGACUAUAACUUCCCUCCAAAGAGUGCAGUAUGGAAAAGGAGCAGGAGGGAAUGAGUAUCUUUAUGGUGGGAAACUUAAUUCUGCCAGGUGACCAAGGGCAACACAAGUCAUAAAUCAUGUUGAUCCCUUGCUAUGAUGCUAUGAAGACGAGACUUUAUAUCAAUGAUCUUCCUCCUCAAACCCCUUAAGCCUAGUCUAGUCAUGAGAAAAACAUCAGAUAAAUCCCAAUACAAGGGCAUUGUACAAGAUUGCUGACUAGUACUCUUCAAAACUGUCAAGGUCAUGAAAAACAAGAAAAGUCUGAGAGACUGUCAUAGCCAAGAGGAGCCUAAGGAGACAUGACAAUUAAAUGUAAUGAGGUAUCCUAAAUGGGAUUCUGGAACAGAAAAAAAGGCAUUAUAAAACUAUCUCAAUAAACUAUGGGUUUCAGUUAAUUAAAAAAAUCAUUAUUGGGUUAUUAAUUGUAACAAUUAAAUAGUAAUGACUUAGAAUAUUAAGAAUAGGGAAACUGUGUGUGAAGAAGGUGCUCCAUGGGACUCAAUGUGCCCUUCGUUCAAUUUUUCCGUAAAUCUAAAACUCUUUAAAAAAAUUAAGCCCAUUAAUAAAAACUUGAAAAAUAAAAAAUCACUAAAUCCAAAUAAAAUCACCCUAAGAGUACAUUUUUGUUCUUACUGUCAGAAUUCUGCGUGUAUUUUGAAGAGCAACAGAGAGUCAUGAUUAGAAAGUAGACAAUGUAACUAAAAACAAGGUCAUGAAAAUAUCAUUUAAAAGUGUUAUAUAGGGCCAAUUAAAGAGGUAUAAGGAAGGGCAAGAGUGAGCUUACAAAGAGAAUAUUUCAAAGUUUAGUUGAAGUUGUUGAAAGCUGAUGCAAGUAAAAAUGUGUUAGAGGAAAAAAUGGGGAGUUAAACAAUUUUCAAAUAAGUCCAUAAUGAUGGGAGCACUUUACCUUGAUUUACUUACUGACUGAAUGUGGGGAGAUAAUGGAACAAAGCAUAAAAUAAAAUACCACUAGUAUCUGUUUGAUUAUACAUAUCCCCCAGCUUGCUGCUUCUGUGCAUUUAUUCCCCAUAUCCAGAAAACUCCUGCCCUCAUACCAAAUACUACUAUCCCUCAGAGUUCUGUUCAAACAGCAUUUCCUCUGGGAAAUCUUUCCCAAUUCAUGUCUCUCCUAUGCUCAAUUGGAACUCAUCUCUUCCCCAACCAACACCCACAGCACUUCCUUUACUCCUGUCUCAUAGAACUUAUCACCAUAUUCCCUAUAUCAUGUCCAUUAGUGUUUUUAUCUCCCCAGGCAACCUGCAAAAGAAUGAGGAUUAUCCUCUAUGUUUGAUUUUUCCACAUCUCUGAGCACAAUAGCAUAGCUGACACACAAUAACAACCUGUCAAAUAAAUUUAUCUUAAUGCCUAUGUUUCAUAAAACCAGACCAUCUGUUUGCUGCUUCUCUGCAUUCCAAAUUACAAUAGUAGUGCAAUUAUUUGCUCAUAGUAGGUGCUAAAUACAUACUUUUAACAAUUUUUAAGUGUUCAGUUUGCAAACUUUUUAAGGCAGAAUCCAUUACUUCCAUUUUUAAAAAUCAAUGUACUAGGUUCAAAUGCUACAGACACUCAAAUUCUUAUAAAUAUUGCCUAAGUGGCUCAAAGGGAAUCUUAGAGGAAAAAUAAGGAUGUAUGACUUCCCUCUGUUGGUUUCUAGAGAUUGAGAAGAUAUCUAUUUCAAGUACAAUAUGUAUAAGACAAAUUAAAAAUAAGCGGUAGGCAAGGUCAAAUCAAACAUAUAAUUUUACAGAAACUAGCCUUAGACAAUAACUAAAACCAUGGAAAGGAAUGAUUUAUUCUGGAUAUUGGCUGCUAAAGAGCACUGACCCAUAUAUAGAAUGCUUUGGUAAGAAGAGACUCAAUUUCUUAGACUAAACCCCAAAGAUACAGACUUUUGAUGAAUUUAGAUAACAGAGGGUCACUUGAAUCUUCAUUUUAGGCACCUAUUUUGGAAAUGUGAGGAAAAAAGUCAGUUUAGUGGAAAUUGGAGGGCUUCCAAUAAAAACAGUCUUGUAAAUUCAUUCUUUGAAGACUCUUCUGCUCAAAAGCAAUAGCAAUGGCAGACUAAAUACAAAAAGAGAUGACUAAAAAGAUAGAGCCACAGUCAAAAAUUAGUUAAACAUCUCCAAGGACCAUAAAUACAAGAAAAGCAAAAUGCAAUAAGCAGGUUGGAAACCAUGGGGCCUGAAAGUCUUUAGAUCCAGAAGUCGACUGAGGCAACUAGAACUUCUAAUCUCUCAGCAGAACUGACUUCGUGUGAAAGACAAAGGCCAGACUUGCUGCCUGGAAGUGGAAGCAGGGCUCUCUCAUCUGUGUUGAGAAAGGCACUCAUCUGUGUAUCUAGCGAGACGGGAGAAAGUGGUCAUUUUAGAACAAGCCACCACAAGCCAGGUAAGUGCCUCUGCUUUACUUCUAGUAUCAUCAUAAAACAGGAGUCCUUGAUGUCCCAAUUAGGAUCUCAUUCUAGAUGACAAGUAUAUAGUAUUGAAUAAAGAAAGACUCAAGAACAUUAACAAGGAAGAAUGAGCAUAAAGGAGAGAAAACUCCCAUUCACAAGGAGUUGAAAAUUAAAAUUUCAAAACAUAAGAAGAAAAUGAAAAUUCUUUUUUAGGAAUGCUGCUUAAAAAGCAAGUGGAAGAUGAAUUCUUCCAGGUGAAAUGAAAACAUCAGAGCAAUUUGAAAACAUCAAAGCAGUUUUAAAAUGUCUCUAAAAUGCAUAUAUUUUGGACUUACAAAGAGAUGAAGAAGAAAGCAUAAUUUCUCAUGAGAAAUCAUGAAGCCAGAAGGAAGCAGCACAACGGUCUUCAAGUACUGAACAAAAUGAACUAUCAACUGUAGAAUUCAAUAUUCAGUAAAAUCAUCCUUUAGGAAUGAAAGAGAAAUAAAGUUUUUCUUUAUCCACCAUUAGACAAAGGAAACCAAGAGAAUUUGCCAGUAGCAGAUAUACCCUCACUAGCAGAUAUACCCUAAAUGAAUGGCAAAGGAAGUCCUCUAUAACCAGAAGAAAAAGGAUUGAAAAAAGGAGUCUUAGAACACCAGGAAGAAAAGAAGAAUAAUGGAAAAAGCAAAAAUGGCAAGUUGAGCAGUGAAGUGGCAGCCUGCUGUGUUGGGGUGAUGGCCUCACUUUUGUCAUAUUAAUGUGAGAUACAUAAGCAGAGUCUCACUGUGUCGCCCAGGCUGGAGUGCAACGGCGCGAUCUCAGCGGCUCACUGCAACCUCAGCCUCCUGGUUCAAGCAAUUCUCCUGCCUCAGCCUCCUGAGUAGCUGGGAUUGCAGAUGCGCACCAGUAUUAUCACAAUUUAAAAAAGGGUUUUGUAAAAUAUUAACUCUCAAUCUCCACUAAACCUAAAACAUCUCAUAUACACUCUAAUAUCAAAAAACAAAUGGUUUAACUGUAUUUAAACAGUGGGAAUAAACAUAGAGAGGUCAUUAUGUCAAUAUCAAGUUCACUCUAAUGUGUGAGUAAAUUUUAUGAUUAAGAAGUGUUGUCUAAUUGUUUUCUAAGGCAGUGGGACUCACCUAGCACAGCUGUGAAAAUUCCACAUCUUUUCACACUGAAGUUUAAAUUGAAAAAUAGAGGCCAUGUAAGUUUAUGAAGUAUGGUGAUAAAGUUAUUUCGUGACCGUUUUUUUUAAAUGUCUAUCAAUGGAAAUACUGUAACUGAUGUGGUGGUAAUAUUUAGCUACCAGAAAAAAACCAUGGCUAAGCCUUAUGAAUAUUAUCACUUCUCCCUGUAUAGGCCUGCACUGGAAAAGUCAUUCAUUCAACUACAGUAUUACACCUCUCAUGGUAACCAUUACUGGAGGCUGAUUCUUUACCUCUCCACCUCCUUUAAUCUGUAACAAGAGAGUGAUGGCUACAAUUCCACAGACUUUAAACACUGGUCAGCAUUUAAGUUUUUCUUCUAUCUUUCAGGAGGCACUAAGAACAUAUUUUGCACAAAAAACACUAAUAAGAUUGCAGAAUAAAAGUCUCAAUCAUGCAUAUAUUCUUUCCCCACUUCUUUUACUCUUCUGUUGAGUUAGUGCUUAAAACAAAAUACCGCACCUUUCUCCAUCAAUUUCCUCCAUGAAAUUCAAAGUAUUCAGGUGAGGAUAGGUUAUUUUCACAUCCAGCCUGUGUAUCUCGCUGCAUCAUGAGAAGCUCAGCUGCUGCUGUUGUUUUGUUUUUGUCUGAAGGCAGGAUGUGUUUGAUUCUCUUUUUAAAGUUACUCAAGAGAAAAUGUUGACUGCUGUAAUAAAAAUCUGGAUGAAAUUGUAGUACAAUGUGUUCUGAGACUCAUACUCUAGGAAAUGUAUGCAGAGUACACUGAGAUUAAUAAAUGAAGUGGAAAAAUCUUCUAUAUUAAAAUGUUUUUCUCUUGAAA